UGCAAGAAGCACUUCCAAACUCCUGCUGAG
rnacentral:piRNA from 1 species